GCGAAUUCGCCCUUCGGGGUGCAGCAGGCGCGAAAACUUUGCAAUAAGCGAAAGCUUGACAGGGCUAUCCCGAGUGCCAUCCGCUGAGGAAGGCUUUUACCCAGUCCAGAACGCUGGGGGAAUAAGGAGAGGGCAAGUCUGGUGUCAGCCGCCGCGGUAAUACCAGCUCUCCGAGUGGUGUGGAUGUUUAUUGGGCCUAAAGCAUCCGUAGCUGGCUAAGUUAGUCCCCUGUUAAAUCCACCGAAUUAAUCGUUGGAUUGCGGGGGAUACUGCUUGGCUAGGGGACGAGAGAGGCAGACGGUAUUUCCGGGGUAGGGGUGAAAUCCUAUAAUCCCGGGAAGACCACCAGUGGCGAAGGCUGUCUGCUAGAACGCGCCCGACGGUGAGGGAUGAAAGCUGGGGGAGCGAACCGGAUUAGAUACCCGGGUAGUCCCAGCUGUAAACGAUGCAGACUAGGUGUUUGAACGGCCACGUGCCGUUCUAGUGCCGCAGGGAAGCUGUUAAGUCUGCCGCCUGGGGAGUACGAUCGCAAGAUUGAAACUUAAAGGAAUUGGCGGGGGAGCAC
rnacentral:rRNA from 1 species